rnacentral:rRNA from 1 species
AAAGAGAGCCGUAACACAGGUGCUGCAUGGCUGUCGUCAGCUCGUGUCGUGAGAUGUUGGGUUAAGUCCCGCAACGAGCGCAACCCUUGUCAUUAGUUGCUACAUUUGGUUGGGCACUCUAAUGAGACUGCCGGUGACAAGCCGGAGGAAGGUGGGGAUGACGUCAAGUCCUCAUGGCCCUUAUAGGUGGGGCUACACACGUCAUACAAUGGCUGGUACAAAGGGUUGCCAACCCGCGAGGGGGAGCUAAUCCCACAAAGCCAGUCGUAGUCCGGAUCGUAGUCUGCAACUCGACUACGUGAAGUCGGAAUCGCUAGUAAUCGUGGAUCAGAAUGUCACGGUGAAUACGUUCCCGGGUCUU